rnacentral:rRNA from 1 species
AUUGGACAUGGGGGCAACCCUGAUCCAGCCAUGCCGCGUGUGUGAAGAAGGCCUUCGGGUUGUAAAGCACUUUCAGUAGGGAGGAAAGGUAGCGUGUUAAUAGCCCGUUACUGUGACGUUACCUACAGAAGAAGGACCGGCUAACUCCGUGCCAGCAGCCGCGGUAAUACGGAGGGUCCGAGCGUUAAUCGGAAUUACUGGGCGUAAAGCGUGCGCAGGCGGUUUGUUAAGCAAGAUGUGAAAGCCCCGGGCUCAACCUGGGAAUUGCAUUUUGAACUGGCGAACUAGAGUCUUGUAGAGGGGGGUAGAAUUCCAGGUGUAGCGGUGAAAUGCGUAGAGAUCUGGAGGAAUACCGGUGGCGAAGGCGGCCCCCUGGACAAAGACUGACGCUCAGGCACGAAAGCGUGGGGAGCAAACAGGAUUAGAUACCCUGGUAGUCCACGCCGUAAACGAUGUCUACUCGGAGUUUGGUGUCUUGAACACUGGGCUCUCAAGCUAACGCAUUAAGUAGACCGCCUGGGGAGUACGGCCGCAAGGUUAAAACUCAAAUGAAUUGACGGGGCCC